CCUACGGGUGACAGCAGUGAGGAAUAUUGGUCAAUGGGAGCAAGCCUGAACCAGCCAAGUCGCGUGAGGGAUGACGGUCCUAUGGAUUGUAAACCUCUUUUGUCGGGGAGCAAGGCCCGCCACGUGUGGCGGGAAGGAGAGUACCCGAAGAAAAAGCACCGGCUAACUCCGUGCCAGCAGCCGCGGUAAUACGGAGGAUGCGAGCGUUAUCCGGAUUUAUUGGGUUUAAAGGGUGCGUAGGCGGAAGGUUAAGUCAGCGGUAAAAUGUCGGUGCUCAACACCGGCCGGCCGUUGAAACUGGUCUUCUUGAGUGAGCGAGAAGUACGCGGAAUGCGUGGUGUAGCGGUGAAAUGCAUAGAUAUCACGCAGAACUCCGAUUGCGAAGGCAGCAUACCGGCGCUCAACUGACGCUGAGGCACGAAAGCGUGGGGAUCGAACAGGAUUAGAUACCCGAGUAGUC
rnacentral:rRNA from 1 species